rnacentral:rRNA from 1 species
CGGACCGGCGCGACGGGUGAGUAAUGCGUAUGCAACUUACCUAUCAGGAGGGGAUAACCCGGCGAAAGUCGGACUAAUACCGCAUGAAGCAGGGGCCCCGCAUGGGGAUAUUUGCUAAAGAUUCAUCGCUGAUAGAUAGGCAUGCGUUCCAUUAGGCAGUUGGCGGGGUAACGGCCCACCAAACCGACGAUGGAUAGGGGUUCUGAGAGGAAGGUCCCCCACAUUGGUACUGAGACACGGACCAAACUCCUACGGAAGGCAGCAG